AAUCGUUGCCAUGGUUUUGACCUGUGACCACCAUGUAUUCUCGAUCUCUCUAACUCCUUUUAUCAUCUUAUUUUAAUUUUGUUGAUGAUCUCAGAGCAGGACGAUGAGACCUGCUCAUAAUGAGACGACGAAGAUGACAACCGUUGAAGUCAGAAAGGCUAAAGUCAAUAUCUUCUGGCUUGUGAAGCCAAGGGUCAAGACUUGGCUACACCAUGACAGAAAAAUAUGGAAGGGCUUGAUUGAGAUAGGAAAAGAAACCGUAGGGGAUAAAAUGAAAUUAACCUCAAAAAGGAAAAAAAAAAAAAAGGGACAGCCGUGCCCAUCCAUUCCAAUAAGAUACUGUUUGCAUACUCCAUGUGAGCUAAAGAGAAAGGAGCAGAAUAUAAAGUAAACGCCAGAAUCAAGAAGGUAGCAAGCAGAAUGAAGGUGAAGGCGAUGCCUCAACUGCUGAUGAAGAAAGGUGCUCCCAUGGACAAGCUCCUGGAUGUCAAUCCUGUUGAGAUCAGGAAUCAGAUUGACUCCUUUGUCCAGUCCACUCGAACAUACAUCGCUUAGGUUCUGAGCUCCCCAGAGACAUGUUUACUUUCUUUUGGCUAGUAUAAUUUUGUAUAGACAUAUAUAUUAACAGAUGUAAAUAUAUAGUUAAAUAGUAGAUAUUUGUUCCUUAAUUUGUUAUUAUUGAGUACACAAUCGAGCUUCCUUGUCAAUGUCAUGGAAAGUUGCAGGCAAAGAGAACAUCUACAAAUUCACCCAAAAAAAAAAAA